AUGGGGCUGAGGGUCACUCAAUACUACAUCUUUGUUAUAAUGAUAACCAAAGGUGUCAGCAGUGAUGAGAUCAGACUGGACCAGACUCCUGCUGUGGUAAAGAGACCUGGAGAAACUGUGAAGAUCUCUUGUAAGAUAAGUGGAUAUUCAAUGACAAGCCACAACCUACACUGGAUACGACAGAAACCAGGGAAAGCUCUGGAAUGGCUUGGCCGGAUGGAUACAGGCAAUAAUCAAGCAAUAUAUGCAGAGUCUGUGAAGAACCAGCUCACCUUAACAGAAGACGUCUCAGCAAGCACACAGUACUUAGAGGCCAAGAGUCUGAGGACAGAGGACACUGCAGUUUAUUACUGCACCCGAAGAGCCACAGUGACUGGAGCUGAGGAAGCAGCUGUACUAAAACCAGACACACAUUUUCACAGUGUUUCACAAGUCACAUAUGUGUUCUGUGCUACUGAGCUCAUCCAGCCAGACUCACUGCUUAUAAAGCCAGGAGAGACUUUAACCAUCACCUAUUCCUGCAGUCAGACACUGAUCCAGUCUGAUCCUGUGACCAUCAAACCUGAUCCGUCUCAUAAACUGACCUGCACAGCCUCUGGGUUUGACUUUGGUAGCUAUGAAAUGGCUUGGAUCAGACAGGCGCCUGGAAAAGGACUGGAAUGGGUUGCAUAUAUCUCAAAUGAUCUGGAUCAUUUGGAAACAGGUCUUUUCUGCCUCUAG